rnacentral:rRNA from 1 species
AUACGUAGGGUGCGAGCGUUAAUCGGAAUUACUGGGCGUAAAGCGUGCGCAGGCGGUUUUGUAAGACAGUGGUGAAAACCCCGGGCUCAACCUGGGGACUGCCAUUGUGACUGCAAGGCCGGAGUGCGGCAGAGGGGGAUGGAAUUCCGCGUGUAGCAGUGAAAUGCGUAGAUAUGCGGAGGAACACCUAUGGCGAAGGCAAUCCCCUGGGCCUGCAGUUACGCUCAUGCACCCAAGCGGGAGGACCAAACAGGAUUUGAUACCUUUGUAGUCCACGCCCUAAACGAUAUCAACAGGCUGUUGGAAAUUUAUUUUCUCAGUAGCGAAGCUAACGCGUGAAUAUGACCGCCUGGGGUGUACGGCCGCAAGAUUAGAACUCAAGUGAAUUGACGGGU